rnacentral:rRNA from 1 species
GUGCUUAACACAUGCAAGUCGCACGGGACUGGGGGCAACUCCAGUUCAGUGGCGGACGGGUGCGUAACACGUAAGCAACGUGUCCAGGGGUGGGGGAUAGCCGGCCCAACGGCCGGGUAAUACCGCGUGCAGUCACCGACGGCAUCGAAGGUGACGAAAGCCGGGGCAACCUGGCGCCCAUGGAGCGGCUUGCGGCCUAUCAGCUAGUUGGUGGGGUAACGGCUCACCAAGGCGACGACGGGUAGCUGGUCUGAGAGGAUGACCAGCCACAUUGGGACUGAGACACGGCCCAG